rnacentral:rRNA from 1 species
UACGAAGGGGGCUAGCGUUGCUCGGAUUUACUGGGCGUAAAGCGCACGUAGGCGGUCUUUUAAGUCGGGGGUGAAAUCCUGGAGCUCAACUCCAGAACUGCCUUCGAUACUGGAAGACUUGAGUCCGGGAGGGGUGAGUGGAACUGCGAGUGUAGAGGUGAAAUUCGUAGAUAUUCGCAAGAACACCAGUGGCGAAGGCGGCUCACUGGCCCGGUACUGACGCUGAGGUGCGAAAGCGUGGGGAGCAAACAGG